UGCAGUCGGACGGGAUUUGGGAGCUUGCUCCUAAUGAGAGUGGCGCACGGGUGCGUAACACGUAUGUAACCUACCCUUGUCAGGGGGAUAGCCUCUCGAAAGAGAGAUUAAGCCCGCAUAACAUGGAGACACAGCAUUGUGAUUUCAUCAAAUAUUUAUAGGACAAGGAUGGGCAUGCGGAACAUUAGCUAGUUGGUAAGGUAAUGGCUUACCAAGGCUACGAUGUUUAGGGGAUCUGAGAGGAUGGCCCCCCACACUGGUACUGAGACACGGACCAGACUCCUACGGGAGGCAGCAGUAAGGAAUAUUGGUCAAUGGGCGCAAGCCUGAACCAGCCAUGCCGCGUGCAGGAAGACGGCCCCACGGGUUGUAAACUGCUUUUGCAGGGGAAUAACCCUCCCGACGAGUCGGGAGUUGAAUGUACCCUGAGAAUAAGGAUCGGCUAACUCCGUGCCAGCAGCCGCGGUAAUACGGAGGAUCCAAGCGUUAUCCGGAUUUAUUGGGUUUAAAGGGUGCGUAGGCGGCCUAUUAAGUCAGGGGUGAAAGACGGUAGCUCAACUAUCGCAGUGCCUUUGAUACUGAUGGGCUUGAAUAUACUAGAGGUAGGCGGAAUGUGACAAGUAGCGGUGAAAUGCAUAGAUAUGUCACAGAACACCAAUUGCGAAGGCAGCUUACUAUGGUAUGAUUGACGCUGAGGCACG
rnacentral:rRNA from 1 species